rnacentral:tRNA from 1 species
GCCGUGAUAGCUCAGUGGUAGAGCAUCGAACGCAAUAUUCGAAGGUCGUAGGUUCGAUUCCUGCUUACUACA